rnacentral:rRNA from 1 species
GACGAACGCUGGCGGCGUGCUUAACACAUGCAAGUCGAACGGAAAGGCCCUGCUUGCAGGGUACUCGAGUGGCGAACGGGUGAGUAACACGUGGGUGAUCUGCCCUGCACUUCGGGAUAAGCCUGGGAAACUGGGUCUAAUACCGGAUAGGAGCCAUUUUUAGUGUGAUGGUUGGAAAGUUUUUUCGGUGUAGGAUGAGCUCGCGGCCUAUCAGCUUGUUGGUGGGGUAAUGGCCUACCAAGGCGGCGACGGGUAGCCGGCCUGAGAGGGUGGACGGCCACAUUGGGACUGAGAGACGGCCCAGACUCCGACGGGAGGCAGCAGUGGGGAAUAUUGCACAAUGGGCGCAAGCCUGAUGCAGCGACGCCGCGUGGGGGAUGACGGCCUUCGGGUUGUAAACUCCUUUCGCUAGGGACGAAGCUUUUUGUGACGGUACCUAGAUAAGAAGCACCGGCUAACUACGUG